GCAGGAGCAGAGAGGAAGCUGGAUGUUCUCUCUUCCUUCGUGUCAUUUUCUCAAAAUGUUUGGGCAUAAACAGAAGUGGCUUCCCAGGUAAGGCAGAACUGAUAUGCUGACAUCCUAGUAGGUGGGUGGCUGUUGUUUACUGGGAGGGGUGCGUGGAGGUCAGCAAGGUGCAAAUGCACUGGAAGGAGCACCAUGUGGCCUCUGAUGAUGCUUUUCCACCAUGCCACAAGUGGAGAGAAAGCAGGAUAAGGGGUUAGUGCAAUGAAGGCCAGGGGAGCUGCAAAGAUCCAUUAUAACAUUUGAGAGAUUGGAAGAUUUGUAUGAUUGUGAUUCCUAGCAGUUCCUGAGUUGCACUACAAAGAAGGAAAGAGAAGAACUCAAAUUAAGCACGCAGAGAACGAAAACCUAGUAACUCACAUUAAGCAUAAUUUGUUUGUUUUUCUUGUAUCUAUGUUCCUGUUUGGCAACUCACAGGGUCCUGCAGCAACUGGGGGGGUCAAUGUGGCUUCUUUCCUGUUAUCCUGUGUCAACCAGGGGUCCAGAACAGCUUUCAGAAAGGCUAGAAAUCAGACAUUUCCCUUUCCUGUGCUAUGAUCAAGACAAAGCCAAACAUUCUUUAUCCAUCACCAGGAUGGGGGGGGGGGGGACCCACCCUUUCAUUCCCAUGAGACUUGCUUCUUCCCCACUGCCUGCAAAUGCCAGAGCACAAAAAUAUGCUCCUGUGUGGAUAUAUUUUUUUAAGGUCUCACUAGGAAUGUUUGCGGAAUUAGAUUUCUGCACCCCGACAUGCAUUUCCCAUAUUAUGGGUGGUAUCCAAUGAAGCAAUAGUCAUAGCAAACCCACUGAAAUUAAUGAACACAAGUUAGGUCCAUUCAUUUCAAUGGGCUGACUCUGAGUAAAGCUUAGUGCAUCAGAACAUAUUAGACUCUUUUCCCCCCGAAUUUUUUUUAUUCACUUUAUAACACAAAUAAAGAACAAAAACAGAAAAAUGAAUAAUACAAACAAAUUCUUGUCAUAUCCUUCUUUUCUAAACAUUGUUAAAUGGGCUUCCUCAAGUCCCACCUAUCUGAUUUUCAUUUUACUUCAUCUUUAGCAGUUUACAUAUAUCAUAGUUUCUAACCAUUUUUUUUUAUCACACUUAAAAUAACUUCACAUUUUAUCACUUACAAAUAAUACUGUUUUAAAAUACACUAUCUUCUACUUCUAACCCUACAGCCUAUAUCCACUUCCAAAGCUAUUCUAAGAUUUAAAUAUUAACAUAUUUUUUCAAAUAUUCCUUAAACUUCUUCCAAUCUUCUUCCACUGUCUCUUCUCUCUGGUCUCGGAGUCUUCUGGUCAGUUCGGUAAGUUCCAUAUAGUCCAUCAUCUUCAUCUGCCAUUCUUCGAUAGUUGAGAACAUAUUAGACUCUUGGGGUGGAAUUCAAUGUCAUGCUAAGGAGAUCGUUCCAUCAGUGCCAGCAUUUCUGCUUCCAGACAGAACAAUCUCCCCUCUUUGUGUUGUCCUGGAGUUUUCCUGACUCACCCAAACAGACUGGGGGAGAGUAAAGGGUGGGAGAGGGUAGGGAGUCGCUAGCAGGACUCAUUGCGCUAGCUUCUGCUAGUGCAUUGCUUAUUAUGUGUUAUGCACAAAUAGUCCCGAACUGCUUGUGUAUAUUAUGGAACUGUAUACCUUACUUAUAUGCCUUGUGGCAUCUUGCAAGAGGAGUCACAAAUGCACUGUGCAAUUAACCACAGUAAACUUUCACUGGGCACUUUGAGAACCUGUCUCUAUUUUCUUAUAUCUAGUGUUUUACUUCCUCUACUGAACACUACUAAUAGACUUCAGUGAAGAAGACGGAAGCGUUCUGCGUAUCUCACAGACUUACUGAGAGCAUUCUAUGGCUCACACACACCACAACGAAAAAUCCAUUUCCCAAACCUCUGUAAUCCCAUG